rnacentral:tRNA from 1 species
GAGGGCAUAGCUCAGUGGUAGAGCACAUGCUUAGCAUGCAAGAGGUCCUGGGUUCAACCCCGGGUACCUCCA